rnacentral:rRNA from 1 species
UAAGUCAGAACCGUGCUAGAAACGAUGAUGUUGGUCCCGCACAUAUUAGCUGUGUUAAAAUAGAGCUUUGCUCGUGAACCAAAUCAGACAGACGUGGAUGCUGCAGUGGAAAUCUGUGGUGUCUAGUUUGUGAAUUGUAAUUACCAUAUGGGCGGGGGUGAAUCCUUUGCAGACGACUUGAAUGGGAACGGGGUACUGUAAGCAGUAGAGUAGCCUUGUUGCUACGAUCUGCUGAGGUUAAGCCUUGUUCUAAAGAUUUGU